rnacentral:misc_RNA from 1 species
CACGUUUUGGGGUGCUUCGGCGCUCCUUAUACACCCACCCUCUGCCUACGCGUACCUCUUAUAGCUUCCUCGGCGGGCUCGCCCGCCGCCAGGAACCUCCAAAACCUCUUGCAUUAUAUAUACAAAAACUUCUGAUAACAAACCUAAAUUAUCA